AAGAAAGAAAGAGGGAACGGGGGCUGCAUUUACAUUACAAAUUGAUAUUAUGUUUACAAUCGAUCAGAUCUCUCGCUUUCGCCCUCGCUCGUUGCAUCAUAAUCGCACGCAUGGAUCUUGUUUCUGUAAUGAUCUUGCUUUUCAUCGCACAUAUGGAUCUUGUUUCUUCAAUGAUCUCACUUUUCAAUACUGAAAUUUCACACAUGGAUCUUGUUUCUCUGAUGAUCUCAAUUUUCAGUACUGAUGAUAGGGUACGUAUUCUGUUCUUUAUUAUAAUUGGAAUUACAUUUUACUACUAUGUUUUGUUUUGUAGGAAUUAGGGUUUACUACUCUAUUUUGUUUUGUAUCAUAAGAAUUAGGAUUAGGGCUAGGAAGUUAUCUUCUUUUAAGGGUAAAUUAUGUUUUUCGUCCUUUAUGUUAUCAGAUUGCAAUGGAUGACAUUUAACUUCAAUAAUUAUGGUCACAAUCCUUUAUUUAUAAAACUCAUUACAUCUUAUGUCCUUUGGCCCUAACCUAGUUAAAAUUUUCAGUAAACUCUACUCAUAUAAGGGCAAUUUAGUCUUCUUACUUAGAUCAUGACAUUUAAUAGUAAAAGAUAGUUUAAAUGAUUAUUUAUCUAUACUAUAUUAUCAUGCAUGAGGCAAGGGCAUUUUAAGAUAUCCAAAAAAUAAGAACUCCCCCCCUCUUUAUUUAUAUAAAGACCCCUAAAAUGAGGGUAGUUUGGUCUUUUAAACAGUAUUUAUUUUUUAGCCCCUUAACUUAUUACACUUACAUCCCUAAGGUUUUAACAAAAUUAUAGAUAAUUAGUUACAAUUCACCUCUCCACAACAAACUUAUAAUUUUUUUUUUAUUUAUUCUUGACAUAUCUUAUAAACUAUAUUGUUUAAAAAAAAUUCAAAGAUAGCAUGAUGACCUACACAUUUUUGUCGACGUUUCGGUAGUUGUCUUGUUCAAUAUCGACGCACGGAUUAAAAGAUACAAGUAGAUAAUGUUUUAAUGUACAAGUGAUUAAAUAAGAAUAUAACAACUAAUCUAUAUUAUAUAAUCAUUUAAUAAGUUAAAUAAUAGGUUCUAUAAGAUUUUCAUUCUAAAAUUUUAUGAACUAAAAAUAUUGUCAAAUAAUUGAUCAGACGAUUUCUUUAUACUUUAGUCAAAUUUUAACAAAACUUCCUAAUUUUAAGGAUAGAUAGUAUAACAAACCUUAUAUAAAAAAGAUGAAAAAACUAAGUGGGAAACAAUUUUUAAAAUUUAAAACAUAUAGUUGUUAUCUGUAUUGUUUUAUAAAGCACAUAGGAAGAUACUCCGUCGCCAUCUCUCUCUCUCUCAGGAUACUCUUCAGUCGUCUUCCACCUUUCUCCCAUUGUUUUGUUUUCCUACUUCUGCUCCUCCGUCCGCCAGAGGCACCACCGGCUACUAACAACUCCAUCUUUAUCAUUGUAGGUUUUGUAUCAGAUGCAACUUCGGUGGUGAAUUUUUUGAAAGAUUAGUCUUCCUCCUAUCAUGAGUCAACUCCUCUCUUAUUGUUGACUCCCUUAACCCCAAGUGUUGAUUCCGUUGAAUGAGCAUGGCAGAUCCUUGGUCAAAUUCUUGAAGUGCUCCUGGUGCAUAUAGUCAUAGUUAGGUAGGAUAUAUUUAGGCCUCCAUAAGUGGAAUAAGCUUGCAAACAUUGGUUGGCUUGCUUUCUCUUUCACAUGCUUUGACGGUGAAAUAAAAGAGUGGGAAGAAGGAACAGUAACUACCGGUGGCAGUUCGGAAGAAGGCGCGCGGAUGAUGUAUUUCAGUAAUAUAAGACAUUAAUAUAUUUAACUUCAGUUAUUUUGAAAUUCUUUUGGGUCUAUUUCAGAAGUUAUAUUGUUGGUCAACCUAAUGGAAUGAGCAUUACAUUCCAUUGUCUUUCUUGGCUGGCUCGUAUAUGGAACAAGGUUUAAUUUUUUUAGUA